UUUCAGUCUCGCUUAUAAUUC
rnacentral:piRNA from 1 species